AUGUCCCCGAGGUGUCCCCUAGUUGCGGUCCAUGGUGGCCAGGAUCCAGGAGGUGAAGCUGCAGACCCUGGUGUAGACCCCGGGGUGGCCGGGCAGGGCGCAGGUCUGCAGCCCCCAGGACACGAUGCCCUGCAGGGUCCCAUUGCAGGACAGGGGACCCCCGGAGUCACCCUGGGGACACACAGGGGUCAUUCAGAGGUCACUCAGGGGUCAGAGAUCACUCAAAGGUCACUCGGGUCACUCAGGGGUCACUCAGUGUCACUCAGUGUCACUCAGAGGUCACUCAGGGGUCACUCAGGGACACUCAGAGGUCACUCAGGGGUCACUCAGUGUCACUCGGGGGUCACUCGGGGGUCAGGGGUCACUCUGGGGUCACUCAGGGUCACUCAGGGUCACUCAGGUCACUCGGAGGUCGCUCAGGGUCACUCAGGGGUCAUUCAGUGUCAUUCAGGGGUCACUCAGGGUCACUCGGCGGUCACUCAGGGGUCACUCAGUGUCACUCAGGGGUCACUCAGGGGUCACUCGGGUCACUCGGAGGUCACUCAGGGGUCACUCAGGGGUCACUCAGGGUCACUCAGGGGUCACUCAGGGGUCACUCAGGGGUCACUCAGGGGUCACUCGGGGUCACUCGGGGUCACUCGGGGUCACUCAGGGGUCACUCAGGGUCACUCAGGGUCACUCAGGGUCACUCAGGGGUCACUCAGGGGUCACUCAGGGGUCACUCAGUGUCACUCGGGGGUCACUCAGGGGUCAAGAGUGGUGGAUUUUGGGCAGUUUUUGGGCAGGUUUGGGGCAGAUUUUGGGUGAAUUUGGGGCAGAUUUUG
rnacentral:lncRNA from 1 species